rnacentral:lncRNA from 10 species
CUUUCAAUUUAUUUUGAGCCCCAGAGCACUUUAGCCCACAGUGGUGAGGCUUGCAAAAACUCAAGUUCUGACUGCUGGCAUUGGCAGUUUCCCUCUGGCUAAGGGUGGUUGAAAUGCAUCCUCUGUGGUCUGGCGUCAGCUGAGUUUGGUCCAGUUUUUCUUUCUGCUAUAACAAGGGCAGCACUGAGUUCAAUGCCUCACAGUUGCUGGCUCUCCCUCUCCCCAGGGCACAGAAACGCUCUUCAGACCAUACUCCUACUGCCAGGGGAUGGAGAAGGCAUGGUGUCAGCAAUUCAAGACUGUUUUUCCUACCUCUUCAGUGUCUCUUUCGGCAAAAUGAAGUGAAAAUCAGACUUGUAACUGAAGAAGCCAUCAACCAAGAAAUUUCCAACAGACCCAGAUGGAAAAAGUCCCAGUGAAAGCCUGUUCUUUAGCCAAAGGGGCCAGAAAAGAGCAAGAUAGCAGGACAAGAUCUCUGCCAUCAUGUGAGAGAGAGCCUGAGUUAGCCUGCUGGAUGGUCAAAGAUGAGUGGUGCAGCUAAGUGAAAGCCUGCUGACUUGUAGACAUAUGAGUAAGGCCAUGCUUGAUCACCUGGCUGCCAGCUGGCCUGCCAACUAAUUGCAGGUACUUGAAAGAGUCCAGCAGAGAUCAGCCACCCCAGGUCAAAUAAACACCCAGCCCCCUCCCUGAGAAUGAUGAACUAAAUAAAUGUCUUAAGUACUAAGUUUUGGGUGUUUGCUACAUAGCAAAAGCUAAUUGAUACUGUUCCCAAGGAGUGGAAAACUUCUGUAACAAAAAACAAAAAAUUCUGGCAUUGGUUUUGGGAUUGGGCAAUGGGUAGAGGCUAGAAAAAUGGCAAGGAAGCUGCCAUAGCAACCUAGAAAAAUGGCAACCCAUGCUAUAAAAUAGGGCAAUUGGUCAAUAAUUUUUGAAGUGGUUUGUUAUGCAGCAAUAGCCUACUGAUACACCAUGUGAAUUAUAGCAAGGAAUAGCUAAGGCAAAACAAAACAUUGGAUGAGUAGCAUAGUUCAUUCUAAAGAACCACUAAGGCUUGCUCAGGAAUAUGUACUAAUUCAGGUGGCAUCUGUUAACUAUCACUGAGCAUAAUAUUGGAGGAUAAAUCUGCUUUGCUUAUUGCCACCCCCGUAGCUUAGAAGCUACUCCUAAAACAGCAAGGAUGUCACUGUGGCAGUGGGCAAGGAUUAAUUCCCUCAUUUAUUUAUUCAUUUAUUAAUUCAACAAA